UACGGGGGGGGCAAGCGUUUGUUCGGAAUUACUGGGCGUAAAGGCUCGUAGGUGGCCAACUAAGUCAGACGUGAAAUCCCUCGGCUUAACCGGGGAACUGCGUCUGAUACUGGAUGGCUUGAGUUUGGGAGAGGGAUGCGGAAUUCCAGGUGUAGCGGUGAAAUGCGUAGAUAUCUGGAGGAACACCGGUGGCGAAGGCGGCAUCCUGGACCAACACUGACGCUGAGUGAGCGAAAGCCAGGGGAGCAAACGGG
rnacentral:rRNA from 1 species